CUUUUGUGAACUAUGUCAUAAAUAAUAAAACCACACUUUAGAGAUAAUAUAAAGUUGAUCAUUUGGGGUUUAUAUUUAACUAAAUCCAGGCAUGCUUCCUUAGAGAAUAAAUGAGCCCUUCAGAGCUGAUUUAGUAGUCUCACCUCCUUUCCCCAUCUCUAGCCCUGAUGUUAAGUUUUUUCUUUUCUCCCUCACCCUUCUUCCCAUUCCCAGCACUGACUGGUUUUCCCUGAGCCUACUUCUCUC
rnacentral:lncRNA from 1 species